CUGCGUGACGAAGCGCGCCGCACGGGUAACAAUACCCCCUGAGUUGCGAAGAAGUCGUCCAGACGCCGGUUCCGCCGGCGUUUUUUA
rnacentral:sRNA from 1 species